GAGUUUGAUCCUGGCUCAGGACGAACGCUGGCGGCGUGCCUAACACAUGCAAGUCGAACGGAGAUACGCGCUGAAUGGAUGGAGCUUGCUUUUGAAAUUCUUGUGUAUCUUAGUGGCGGACGGGUGAGUAACGCGUGAGCAACCUGCCUUUCAGAGGGGGAUAACGUUUGGAAACGAACGCUAAUACCGCAUGAGACCACGGUACCGCAUAGUACAGUGGCCAAAGGAGCAAUCCGCUGAAAGAUGGGCUCGCGUCCGAUUAGAUAGUUGGCGGGGUAACGGCCCACCAAGUCGACGAUCGGUAGCCGGACUGAGAGGUUGAACGGCCACAUUGGGACUGAGACACGGCCCAGACUCCUACGGGAGGCAGCAGUGAGGGAUAUUGGUCAAUGGGGGAAACCCUGAACCAGCAACGCCGCGUGAGGGAAGACGGUUUUCGGAUUGUAAACCUCUGUCCUCUGUGAAGAUAAUGACGGUAGCAGAGGAGGAAGCUCCGGCUAACUACGUGCCAGCAGCCGCGGUAAUACGUAGGGAGCGAGCGUUGUCCGGAUUUACUGGGUGUAAAGGGUGCGUAGGCGGCCCUGCAAGUCAGAAGUGAAAUCCAUGGGCUUAACCCGUGAACUGCU
rnacentral:rRNA from 1 species